rnacentral:rRNA from 1 species
GCAAGUCGAACGAGAUCCUCGGAUCUAGUGGCGCACGGGUGAGUAACAUGUGGGAAUCUACCUGAAGGUUCGGAAUAACUGCGGGAAACUGUAGCUAAUACCGGAUGUGUCUGCAAAGAGAAAGAUUUAUCGCCUUCAGAUGAGCCCGCACUAGAUUAGCUAGUUGGUGAGGUAACUGCUCCACCAAGGCUACGAUCUAUAGCUGAUUUGAGAGGAUGAUCAGCCACACUGGGACUGAGACACGGCCCAGACUCCUACGGGAGGCAGCAGUAGGGAAUAUUGGACAAUGGGGGAAACCCUGAUCCAGCAAUGCCGCGUGAGUGAAGAAGGCCUUAGGGUUGUAAAACUCUUUCAUCAGUGAUGAUAAUGACAUUAGUUGAAGAAGAAGCUCCGGCUAACUUCGUGCCAGCAGCCGCGGUAAUACGAAGGGGGCUAGCGUUGUUCGGAAUCACUGGGCGUAAAGCGUAUGUAGGCGGAUCAAAAAGUUAGAUGUGAAAUCCCUGGGCUCAACCCAGGAACUGCAUUUAAAACUAGUGAUCUAGAAAUUGGUAAGGGUUAGUAGAAUUUCCAGUGUAGAGGUGAAAUUCGUAGAUAUUGGAAUGAAUACCAGAAGCGAAGGCGACUAACUAGGCCAUUUUUGACGCUGAGAUACGAAAGCGUGGGUAGCAAACAGGAUUAGAUACCCUGGUAGUCCACGCAGUAAACGAUGAGUGCUAGUCGCUGGGACAAUAGUUUCAGUGUCGAAGCUAACGCAUUA